AAACUGACGCAUUUUUACAGUCCGAAAAAAAUUCAAUGCGGUGGCAUCGCAUGUGGUGGCGGCGCUGCGUUAUACGAUGAUCGAUAUCUUUGGUGGUGGCGGUGGUUUCUAAACUUUGCCAAGUAUAUCAUUCUCAGCCCACACUUCAACGUCCAUGACGUGGUAGAGUACGCUUGAUUUUCAUGAAAAUAUGACAGAUGACAGUCUUGAACCAGGAACUUUCUGCUACUAUGCAUUGUUAGUGCCCGCUACCAUACCAGUCAUUGCUUGCUUCCUAUUUUUGCGAUGGUUUGGUCUGCAGAUAUUUCGUCACAAUUAAAACAUCCUA